CAACAUGCCCAUAGAAAGGAGCUUGAGAACCAAGACCAUAAAUGCGCGUCUUCUUAACAUCGACUUCCUCCAAAUAUAUUUGUGAGAAAUCAACUUCAGGAGGCUCACUGGACCAUCUUCAGGCUGAGAUGCAGAUAGAAUUAUAGACAUUAUGGCGUCCUGGACAAAAAGAAAAUGAUAUAAGCUCUAUAAUAAUAACUUUGACAGAGAAAACAUCAAGAAAACAGUCAUAAAAGGUAACAAAACUGAAAACUCAAAUUUCAAUAAAUGAGCUAAACUCAAUUAAUUCCUAGUCGAUAGAAAAAGUUGAGCAUCAGAAUUCAUUCUCUA
rnacentral:lncRNA from 1 species